AGCAACCAGAGGCAGGAAAGGAAAAAUGGGAAGGUUUUCUCAGAGUUAACUUUCUCUAACCUUGAAGCCGAAUCCAGGGGCAGGAGCAGGAGUCAACUCUGAGAAGACGUGAUAGAGCUUCAGCAACAUGGAGAGGAGAUAGCCGGUCUGGCUAGGAUGGAAGAAAUGUACAUGGAGAAGAAAGACAGAAGAACCAUCACUGAGCACUAAACUAAUCAGCCAUAAUGUGCAGAUUGACUGGCAAGCCUAUCACCACCUUGAUAACAGAUGACAUUAAAGAGAAAGUAUCAAUGUGAGGAUUAAAUGGGAUGAAAAAUAAAACAUCUGUCGGAGUGCCUGGAAUAUGGUACACAAAUAUCCAAGAUUGGAAAGAAGAAAGAAAAUGACGACAGAAUUUUGCAGUCUACAAGGCAAACACUGCCAUUCAUGUAGUUAUGGAGUUCCUACUAUGUGCAGACAAUGGGAAACUUUACGAAGGAACCUCGACGUAGCCUGUUCCCAAUGCCCUCUGUGGAAUCAGCCAGGUCCAUGCCACAAGUAUGAAUUGUUUCCAGUGCGGCAGUCCUGGGAGUGCCUGAGCCACAAGCCAGUGUCCCCUACUCAGUUGUGCCCUGUGGGGACUGAAGCAGGACUAUAUUCUCACAGGCUCUCCUAAAAGCUGGGCUGCCAGCUUCUAGCUCUACUCCUUUCUCAAAGUGGCCCAGGCCAUCUCUCAGACCAAGGUGGAUGGAGCAGCAUCAGCCAUGGCUCAGGAAUGCAGCCGCCUACUUUCCUGUUAUCAGCAGGCAUUCCUGUGGUUACACUAUUCCUGCUUAGCUUAUCAAUGGCCCUUGGGAACACAGAGUCAGCACCCAAAGAGGGCCAGAACAGCCUGCUUGUUGGACGCCCAUCCACACCAUGAGGCUUUCCUGGAUGUAGAGGGAAGUUACUGUUCCUCGGGAAAACCCCUCUUCCCAGCUGGGUUUUAAAAAGCAGCAGGUUUAAGAGCUGACCAUAUCUGAAAGACUCUAGAAUAGCAGAGGAUUGAUUAAAGGGACACAGAGGUUCAUGUGAUGUAAUAAGAAAGAAAUAAAGGAAGCUUUAUCUGCCGCUCUUUCAACCUCAUCCACUCAACACUUACCCCGUGACAGACCCCAAUACUCUUAAUGAAUUCCCAAGGUUACGAAAGAACUUGGAAGAUCUUACAUUCCUACAUGGUGAUUACAGAGGCUCACAUUUUGCCAAGUCAUAUGCAGGUGGCUGAAAAAUGUGAUCUAACGUCCUUGAACACAUUUAUUACAAUCCAUCAUCUACAUGGCAACAGUCAGGGCCAUGCUCAUAAACCAGAACUGGUGCUAGAUCUGCACUAAAUGAUAUCAGCUGGUCAAUGUAUCAAUGAAGCUUCUCCUGCAAAAAAUGUCUCCCUUAUUUUGGUUUC
rnacentral:lncRNA from 1 species